rnacentral:rRNA from 1 species
GUUGCAGUUAAAAAGCUCGUAGUUGGAUUUCGGAACCGGCCGAUUGGUCCGUCCUCUGGAUCGUGUACUGAUCGGUCUGUUCUUCUUCGCGAAGACCGCGUGUGCUCUUAACUGAGUGGGCGUGGGAUUCGCGACGUUUACUUUGAAAAAAUUAGAGUGUUCAAAGCAGGCAGUCGCUUGAAUAUCUCAGCAUGGAAUAAUAGAAUAGGACUUUGGUCUUAUUUUGUUGGUUUCCGAGACCGAAGUAAUGAUUAAUAGGGACAGUUGGGGGCAUUCGUAUUU